rnacentral:lncRNA from 1 species
CAAAGUUUUUCUUUUACAUUUGAAAUUUUUAUAUUGUUUUCUUCUACUUCAACUUGAAUUUCCAUUUUACUUCUUUAUGACAUUUUUAGUGUAACAUAUGCUUAAAUAUAUUUAUUGACUACUCUCUUUGAAAGAAUGUUUUACUUUCAACUAGGGAAAAUUUCCUAGCAGCAGCAGAAAUAAGGCAAAGUCCCCUGCCAGCACCACUCCCAACUCAGGUCCCACAGCCCUGUCCUCCCCAGGUGCCUGAGCCCUGUCUCCCACCCUUCAUACAGUAGAAGUCCAGCUGUUAAUACCACUUAUGCCAGCAAGACUGCGCAGCAAAGCAGAAAUGACCCUCAGAAGCCACCUUCUCUGACCUGGACAAGAGGAUACUGCAUCCCCCGCCCACUUCCAUCCCCUUACUUCCAGCAAUAAUAGGGACCACCACACAACCUAGAAGAUGCUACCUGUCUUCAGAUUCAAGAUGGAAGAUAUUGUCAUAGUCUACUGGGGUCUCCUCCCUGAAUCUACAGCCCCUCCCAGCUUUUCACCCAGGAGACAACAUGGUUUAGACAGAGUGCCACGUUUUCAAACCUUCCACCUGUGAUCCAAAUAUGCCAUAUUUCCACCGGCUACCUUCUCUACCACACUGCCUUCUGCUGGCUAUAUGAGAUUCCUGCAAGAACACAGAACAUUCACAUCUCUGCCUCAAUGGAAUUCAAAAACUUCAUUAACGUUUCUAGGAGCAAACAUUGUUUAAAAAAAUUAACACAUGAAAACUGCUUAAAUCAAUGAAAAAUUUGCCAGAAUUCUUUACAGCACAACUCCACAUUCUUUGAUGAAGACAAUCACAUUGUCUGUUUGUAUUUUCUCCCUAAUAAUCUCCAUAAAUCCUAACAAAGCUCACCCCUUCCUCUGGACUUUGAACCUAUUCCAAGACCUAUGAUGUUUUUUUUUUCUCUCUCUGCUUCCCAAUCAAACAUAUGUAUCCCUGACUGGUCAUGUCUCUGCUCUUUGCUGGAGAUGUAAAAAAGUCAAGAGAGACAAAGUCACAGAGAGACAAAGGACAAAUGGAGGAAAGUGGAGACUGAAUGGUAAAUCCUUGGAAGGACCCUAGAGGCAAUCAGGGGCCACCCAAGAGUGACAAGGGGACCUGGUUCAAGUCAGAAGGUCUUCUUUUUCCCUCUGGUUGCCCAGUCUCAGUCUCUGAUUUCAGCUGCCUCCAGACCCACCUCUACAUGAGGCACCUAUCCAUUUCUGAUUAGGGACUCGCCAUGCAAGGAAGUGUAUCAUCAACACAGGAAAGAUGACCUAGCAGCAGCUGCAGCAGUGCCAGAUCCCCUGCCAGUCCCCUUCUGGGUCCCCAAGCCCUGCUCUGUACCCCACAGCUGGCAGAAGUGGACUUCCUCUCCAUGCUAACAGGAAUACCACCAAAGCCAAAGAGGCUCUUCUGAAGCCUCCCUUCCCCGCAGCAUCUAGGCAGUACGUUGCUCCCUGCACCCUCUCCAAUCUCUUUCUUCCAGAAUCACAAAGCCCAGAAAUUACCUUUCAUCUACUGAAAGAGAAAGAUACCUUCAUAGACCAACAAUCUGAGAGCAGUUCAUCAAGGGUAUCCUCCCGGCUCCUCCUCCAAGCAAGGAUUGGACACGUGGGCCAUGUUUCGGUCUUCUUUGGUAAACAGCAGACCUGCUCUCCAUUCUCUAUUUUGACACUGUGUGGUCAGGACCAGUCAGUUCAUCUAACUGUUGCCUCCACCACCACUACUGCCACUGCUGGCUCAAGAAGGCAUCUCAAGUAUGGAGUUUUCCUUCCUUAGCUCUCUGUACCCCUGGGUUCCACCAUUUUGGGGGUCUUAAGUAGCAAGGAUGAUCGAAAUUCUAAGAAAGAAAAACUGCUUUAGACAAUGGUAAAGUCUUAAGAAUUUUCUCUUUCCAAUCCUUCAGCUUCAAUCAAGACAAUUACAACAUUUAUUUAUCACCUCCUCUCCUAAGAGAGCUGACCCCUCAGUCUGCUCCUAAGCCUGUUUUGAACAUGCUGAGAUGACUCUUCCUUUCCUCUAGAGGCAUGGGGACUCUAUCUCACUCAUCACACACACCUCCUUCCCUCGUGCUCCCACCCUGAGCACCCCACAGCCCACAAGACCCCAACUCUCAUGAGCAACAAGGAGAAGACCUUCCCAGGCCACUGGGCCUCCAUAGGUGGUGAGUGACUCCUCCCAGGUCCUUCCCAGAAAACAGCAGGAAUUAGACAAAAGUACACUCAGGACCUUCCUGGGGGCCAGGUGUACCAUCCUUCCCCUUCCUUAUCCUCUUUUUAAAUUUAUUUAUAUUUUUGUGGUAAGAAUAUUUAACAUGAGCUCUAUCCUCUUAACAAAUUGUAAGUGUAUUAAUACAAUGCAAUAUUGUUGACUAUGGGUACAAAGUUCUUCAGCAGAUCUCUAGAGCUUAUUCAUCUUACUUAAUUAUUUUAUGCCUGUUGAUUAAUAACUCAUUUCAUCCUCCCCCU